AAGCUCCACAGGCUGGCAGGCCCCCAGGAUGGGCUGGGUGAGUACCUCCUCAAAAACCUCACCCUCAACCACAACUAGGAGG
rnacentral:pre_miRNA from 1 species